rnacentral:rRNA from 1 species
AGAGUUUGACCUGGCUCAGGAUGAACGCUGGCGGCAUGCCUAAUACAUGCAAGUCGAACGAAGUCUUUAGGAAGCUUGCUUCCAAAGAGACUUAGUGGCGAACGGGUGAGUAACACGUAGGUAACCUGCCCAUGUGCCCGGGAUAACUGCUGGAAACGGUAGCUAAAACCGGAUAGGUAUGAGGGAGGCAUCUUCCUCAUAUUAAAGCACCUUCGGGUGUGAACAUGGAUGGACCUGCGGCGCAUUAGCUGGUUGGUGAGGUAACGGCCCACCAAGGCGAUGAUGCGCAGCCGACCUGAGAGGGUGAACGGCCACAUUGGGACUGAGACACGGCCCAAACUCCUACGGGAGGCAGCAGUAGGGAAUCUUCCACAAUGGACGCAAGUCUGAUGGAGCAACGCCGCGUGAGUGAAGAAGGUUUUCGGAUCGUAAAGCUCUGUUGUAAGUCAAGAACGGGUGUGAGAGUGGAAAGUUCACACUGUGACGGUAGCUUACCAGAAAGGGACGGCUAACUACGUGCCAGCAGCCGCGGUAAUACGUAGGUCCCGAGCGUUGUCCGGAUUUAUUGGGCGUAAAGCGAGCGCAGGCGGUUUGAUAAGUCUGAAGUUAAAGGCUGUGGCUCAACCAUAGUUCGCUUUGGAAACUGUCAAACUUGAGUGCAGAAGGGGAGAGUGGAAUUCCAUGUGUAGCGGUGAAAUGCGUAGAUAUAUGGAGGAACACCAGUGGCGAAGGCGACGAUCUGGCCUGUAACUGACGCUGAGGCUCGAAAGCAUGGGUAGCGAACAGGAUUAGAUACCCUGGUAGUCCACGCCGUAAACGAUGAGUACUAAGUGUUGGAGGGUUUCCGCCCUUCAGUGCCGCGAGCCUAACGCUUAAGUAUUCCGCCUGGGGAGUACGCCGGCAACGGUGAAACUCAAAGGAAUUGACGGGGGCCCGCACAAGCGGAGGAACAUGUGGUUUAAUUCGAUGAUACGCGAGGAACCUUACCCGGGCUUGAAUUGCAGAGGAAGGAUUUAGAGAUAAUGACGCCCUUCGGGGUCUCUGUGAAGGUGCUGCAUGGUUGUCGUCAGCUCGUGUUGUGAGGUGUCGGCUUAAGUGCCAUAACGAGCGCAACCCCUCUCCUUAGUUGCCAUCAGGUUAAGCUGGGCACUCUGGGGACACUGCCACCGUAAGGUGUGAGGAAGGUGGGGACGACGUCAAAUCAGCACGGCCCUUACGUCCGGGGCUACACACGUGUUACAAUGGCAGGUACAGAGAGACGGUCCCUUGCAAAAUGGAUCAAAUCCUUAAAGCCUGUCUCAGUUCGGACUGGGGUCUGCAACCCGACCCCACGAAGCUGGAUUCGCUAGUAAUCGCGCAUCAGCCAUGGCGCGGUGAAUACGUUCCCGGGCCUUGCACACACCGCCCGUCA